CUGAGGGAUUUUUCAUGAAUUCAUGCAUUUUUUUUUGCAGAAUAUUGAACUCCUCUCUUUCAAAAAGGAGGAGACAGAUAUCCAACCUUCCCUUACUUGUAAGUAUGGAUCUGAAGAAAGGCAGAUAAGGUGUGCUGACAGAUAGGACAGCCCGAUGGCAAAUUGCCCAUCAGAUGUAACUGGGAGCAAUCGUUCAUUAGCAGUGGAGACAUACUGGAAAUCGAGAAAAUCCUGGGUCUGCAUUGUAUUUCCUGAUAAAUUCAAAUUUCCCUGCCACCGUGAUGGAAAGCAAGCUGAGAUUUGAUGAAUGAAAUUGAGACUCACUGUGAAACAGAGCAACAGCUUUGAAGAGCUGCCAGAUUUCAGCAAAGGUGAGAAUCCAUCCCUCACAGAGCAGGAGACAGGCUGAGCAGCAGAGCCAUUUGAUAGAUGUUAAAAGACAAACCACCAAAAGGCAAAUAUGCCUUUGGAAAACAGUAUUAAGUAAUAUUUUAAAGAAUGGCCACACAUCAUAUUCACACAGAUGCCAACAGGAAGCCCAGCUCAGGAAAAGAAAAGCUUUCAGGACUCGGGCUGAAGACAAGGAUUGCUCUUGAAGUAACUGUAAAAUGCAAUGACCUUGUGGGAGCCCACCUCGAUGAGGCUGGAUAUUUGACUGAUGUACCACUCAAGUCAUUUUCACAGAGCUUGGGAGGAAUUUCAGCUGCAAGAAAUUCUCUGCUUGAGCUUUAGUUUCUUUAUCUCAAGCAUGCUGCUGCAGAGCUCUAAAAGUGGGAAGGGGGCAAGGGCUCGUUUGUGGAGCUGGAAGAUUGGGUGGGCAUAUCCAGGUGGUUUUGCCCUCCAAUUCAUUGUACCUAAAUGCACCUGUCUCUAAUUCUCUGUGUAAUCAUGAAGAUGUUUCUCAGCUGGUGAGCUCAGGUGUGCUGGGGCUGCAGUGGAGCAGGUCUGAACACAAGGCAGAAUUUAGUCAGUUUUUGUGCUGAGGAGACAACCAAAGCUCCAGGGAUGGCACUUUGAAGGCCUUUUCCUCCUUAUUCCAGGGUACUGCCUUGAUGGAGCUGCAUCUGUCUUGGGACCUUUCACGGGAGCUGCUAGAGUCACGAUAGGGAGGCCAAGGGAAGGAGGUCCAUAGGAGGAAUUAUUCCAGCCCAAAUGGGCUGAAUUCCUGAUUCGAAUCGGCGCUCUUCCUACACUAAAAAGUUGUAAGAAGGAGGGAAAAGGCCGCUCCCAAAGGAGGAGCUGGUAAUGGAGCUGUCUCAGUUGUUAUUGCUCUAAGUCCUCCUCCGCAGUAAUUCAAGGUGUCACAGGCUGGCUGUGCCUUUUGCAAAUGAAGCCCCUGAGAGAUAUUGGGAAGAGGAGGUGGAGCCCAGAGCACUUGCCUUGCCGGGAAGGCACGAGGACCCCGGCUAAUGACGGUGUGCCGAUGGCUUUGGCUUUGAUGAGGACCCUAAAUUGCCAGGUAUCGCAUACCCAUGCGAGGGCCCGGCCCUACCGCAGAGCCCAGGCGGACAAACAAGAGAUGGGGCAAAGGACUCGGCCCUGCUCGCGAGUCACUCGUUGUAUCAGGAGAGCGUCUGGAAAGGGAUCGAGGGACGCAGUUGUGACUGGGAGGUCAAUCGCGCCGGGCACGGACCUGCCUUCUCCACCCGUGCCACCGCUGUCCUACUCCGAGGGCGAUGCCACGAGCUGUGGAGGCUGCAGCCGGGAGCAGCGGCUUGGGCACGGGUGGGUCCC